UACGUAGGGAGCAAGCGUUGUCCGGAAUCAUUGGGCGUAAAGCGCGCGUAGGUGGCUUCGUAAGUCCGUUGUGAAAGUCAAAGGCUCAACCUUUGAAAGCCGAUGGAUACUGUGAAGCUAGAGUACGGAAGAGGCGAGUGGAAUUCCUGGUGUAGCGGUGGAAUGCGCAGAUAUCAGGAGGAACACCCGUGGCGAAGGCGGCUCUCUGGGACGGUACUGACGCUGAGACGCGAAAGCGUGGGGAGCGAACAGG
rnacentral:rRNA from 1 species